rnacentral:lncRNA from 1 species
GGUCCUCUUUUAUGGCAGACAAUUGAGGCUUCAGUUGGCAAGUUAGUAGGCACGAUCCCGCACGAUUAGGACGUGAUUCGUUGGGUAUGAGAUUGUCACUCGAUAUUUUCAAGAUGUGGCACUUGCGGUUGCCUUAUCAGUCUAGCAAUAGUUGUUGCCUGGUGGGUGCUACGUUUUAAGUAAAAUCGCCAAUCUGAGUACUGUAGAGGCAAGGGCUAGUCGAUGACAACUAGUGGUCGGUCGCUUUAUGCCGCAGAUAGGAUGGGUUCAAUGAUGCCUGAGUGAUUAGCUCCAGUCAGAUGGUUGCGGAGGAUUGUUUGGCAAAGACAACAACUGACCUUAGAUCAAUAGGAAAAGCAGUGGCCGAUCUUGAGUCAGCGAAGUCUCCAGUUGAUAAGCCAGCUGGAUGCAAUCAUUUUGAGCUCUGAGCCUUUUCAUAAAUUCAGUCCGUAUAAAAUUUUUUCCAAUACAUGUCUCCUUACUUUCGAGUCUUCUUUCAGUCAGGAGAAAGGAGUACACCUGUC